rnacentral:rRNA from 1 species
UACGUAGGGGGCGAGCGUUGUCCGGAUUUAUUGGGCGUAAAGAGCUCGUAGGCGGCUCAGUAAGUCAGGUGUGAAAACUCGAGGCUCAACCUCGAGACGUCGGUUGAAACCGUAAGGCUAGAGUCCGGAAGAGGAGAGUGGAAUUCCCGGUGUAGCGGUGAAAUGCGCAGAUAUCGGGAAGAACACCCGUGGCGAAGGCGGCUCUCUGGGACGGUACUGACGCUGAGACGCGAAAGCGUGGGGAGCGAACAGG